AUGGAGUCGGACUGAGAAGCCAGACGACUCAAGGCGAGGGUACUAAACCUCGCAUACGGAGCUUGCCGCUAUAAUGGAGUCGGGCUGAGAAGCCAGGUGACUCGAGGCGAGGGUACCGAACCUCGCAUGCGGAGCUUGCCGCUAUAAUGGAGUUGGGCUAAGAAGCCAGGCGACUCGAAGCGGGGGUACUGAACCUCGCAUGCGGAGCGUGCCGCUAUAAUGGAGUUGGGCAGAGAAGCCAGGCGACUCGAGGCGAGGGUACUGAACCUCGCAUGCGGAGCGUGCCGCUAUAAUGGAGUCAGGUUGAGAAGCCAGGCGACUCGAGGCGAGGGUACUGAACCUCGUAUGCGGAGUUUGCCGCUAGAAUGGAGUCGGGAUGAGAAGCCAGGCGACUCGAGGCGAGGGUACUGAACCUCGCAUGCGGAGCGUGCCGCUAUAAUGGAGUCAGGUUGAGAAGCCAGGCGACUCGAGGCGAGGGUACUGAACCUCGUAUGCGGAGUUUGCCGCUAGAAUGGAGUCGGGAUGAGAAGCCAGGCGACUCGAGGCGAGGGUACUGAACCUCGCAUGCGGAGCUUGCCGCUAUAAUGGAGUCGGGAUGAGAAGCCAAGCUACUCAAUGCGAAGGUACUAAACCUCACAUGCGGUGCUUGCCGCUAUAGUGGAGUUGGGCUGAGAAGCCAGGCGACUCGAGGCGAGGAUACUGAACCUCGUAUGCGGAGCUUGCCGCUAUAAUGUAGUCGGGCUGAGAAGCCAGACGACUCGAGGCGAAGGUACUAAACCUCGCAUGUGGUGCUUGCCGCUAUAGUGGUGUCGGGCUGAGAAGGUAGGCGACUCGAGGCGAGGAUAUUGAACCUCGUAUGCGGAGCUUGCCGCUAUAAUGGAGUCGGGCUGAGAAGCCAGGCCACUCGAGGCGAGGGUACUGAACCUUGCAUGACUGGGCGUAGCACCCUACAAUCUAUGUGUCUAGCUCGUGUGACCAGUCUGGUUUAAAGCGAAAUGGUACCUGAUGCUUUGUUGCCUCGCUAGUCGUACUAAUAAUUGAUGUCUCGGUGACUUGGUUGUUUGCGGAGAGCUAUGUGGCAGUGCUACUUAGAUCUUUAUAGUGUAGCUACCUUCAGGUGGUGCGUAGCGAGACCGCCGUCAAGAACUGGUCAGCAGGGCCGUUGAGGCCCGAGCAUCGAGCUGCUAGCGAUAGGUGAGUAGCACGACUAUUGAGAGUUGGGAAACACCAAGAGUUGGACCCCACAACUACUCUUUCAAUCUGGAACACCAACGUCACAUUGGGAAUACACCAUCAUUCAUGGUGUCAGCUCCUUGUGUACUUUAACUCUUUCCUUUGGGAAUACAAUCACUUCUGCAUAGUGUCGUACCAACCCCAUUCUCCCCCCCCCUUUUUUUUCUUUAGAGGAGGCGAAGAAAAGGAAAAUAUGGAUAUAUAUAGCCGCUGAAAAGGCGAGAUACAUAGCUGCUGGAAAGAGCAAGACAACCCAAGUACUAACAAAACUGGGUAGCACGGCAGGCG
rnacentral:lncRNA from 1 species